GCCUGGGUGGCUCAGUUGGUUGAGCGUCAGACUUCGGCUCAGGUCAUGAUCUCACAGUUUGUGGGUUCAAGCCCCGCAUCAGGCU
rnacentral:tRNA from 1 species